rnacentral:tRNA from 1 species
GGGGGUGUAGCUCAGUGGUAGAGCGCUCGCUUUGCGUGUGAGAAGUCCCGAGUUCAAACCCCGGCACCUCCA